UUAAGGAUGAAAAAAGGCAGAUGGACAAACUAUAUAUUGACAUAACAUGAGGUUGGAGCCUUUGUUAUGUGGGGAAUGGAAGAAGAAAGGAAAAGACCAUGCUCAGCAUAUAAUGAAAAGUGGAAAAUCUGUGCACAGGAACAUUAAGAGGGUUACGAUUUCCUCCCAAAAUUGAAUGAAGUCAGCUGUUGAGUCUGCUAGGUUCUAGAGUGUCUUCAAGAGCAACACAUAGCGGACUCCAGCAGAAGACACCACUGGAAGCUCCCCACUGAAGAUGCCGAAAGGUGAACACCCUUAAAAAGUGAUUUGUGUAGAGGUCCCCUUCAUCCUGUUGAAAUAAAUGGAAUUUGCUUCUAAGCUUUAGGAUCUUCUUUGGAUCAGAAUAUUACUUAAAGAAACCCCUUGUAUUAGUAGGUCCAGGACAACAUAUUAUUUCUCAGCUUUCUUGCUACGGUGUAUGCAGUAGUGACAAAGCUUCGUUUUCUGCCUAUCUCAGAUUUCCACAUGAAAUCAUGGCACAAGUUAAUUACUAGCGAUACAACUCCACAGCUUUUCAUGUCACGAGGGACAAAGGAAUGCCUGCCCCAAGAACUUAUCUCCAGAUCUAGUGAUGGGGAUGAAGUAUAAUCAUGUUAUCAUCAUGCUAUACCUGUGAGAAGAAAUGUGUUGAGUCUAAUCUUAUCUCAUAUCUGACAU